AUAUAAACCUCAUGUGCAAUGUUUCAAUUUUGUAAUAUUGUUAUCUUUGUUGACAUUUAUAUACCUUUUAGGAUAUGUUUUCCCGAAAACUUUCCUGCUAAAUGUUUGUAAAUAGCAUAAAUUUCCCCUCCGUGUAUUUUUCCACGGUUUAGUUAUGACAGCUUUGUAAAAUGUGUAAAUAGCAGGCCAAACGUUGCUUUCUCAUGUUCUAGGAAAAUGCCACCCCUAUUGGGAUGCAAAGCUUUUGAGAAUCAGCAAAUCAAGGCGAAGCAACGAACGAUCGCCACCUGUUUCCCUCGUUCUGCUUCCCAUUUGAAAACCGAGUGGCUGUGAGCGACGACGACCCUGCGUUGGAAAUCACGAGCUUAAUGCUGCAAACAGAUAGCAAGUAACUGGUCUUCUUCCCCCUAGUUUUUGGCUUUGGAGUUUGGACUCAUGGGUCCCUCUGCUGUUUUGCGCUGUAUCUAUUUUGUUUCUUCUUGUACAGCUUUUUCUUCUUUGAUUUGAAUAUAUUUCGGAGGUGAUCCCUUCAGCAGGAUCGUUUCGUGACUUUCGUCGACUUCAGAGAACGGCGUCUCUGGAGUUCCAUCCACAGCAACGCGCUGGGGAAUUGAAGGUCAUCGGACUAUCCACAACUCCUUGGUUCAGCAGUUUUGGACGGUUUCCAUUUUUCUCUUGAAGUACUAAGAAAUGAAGGAGAUGCAAGGUUUGGGAGGAUUGUGGUGUAGACUAACAUGUUUGUCAAGAGAUUUUAUCAUUCCCUUUUUUUUGGUUGAGGAGGAGUGGGGUUACAAUUUUUGGAGCCUGCAGGGAUUUGUUUCCCCUUUCAAAUCUGGUUUAAAAUGUCAUUCUGACAACAUGAUGGAUCGUCUUGGAGUAUUUCUCAUUUGGAUAUAGCCUGGUUCUGGUCUUAUCUUAGACGUGUGUUUGGAGGACAUGAUCCCUAGUGAUUUAGUGGUUUAUACUAUGUUGCACUGUUAAACUUGCAAUUUUCUUAAUCUUGUGUGGAGUAAUGGACUGGAUUAAGAUGGAAACAUGGAUCUGCACCAAGUUCAGGUAAGUUCUGCCUGAUUCAACCAGCAUCAACCUUGCCUACAUCUAGUCCUAGAAUUUUUGAGCUGGUCUUGAUGAAUGCAGAAUUCGUGCACCAUGGUUUCAUUGGAAUCGUUAGAGACAGGAUCUGGUUCCUUUUCAGUUGCUUUGGUAGUUGAUUUGCAGUUGCUAAAGUGAACACCCCAAAUCAGGGAUGGGACCUGUUUAAUGAGUCUGACCCCACCGUGACUCCCAUUGCCUGGGUUAUGGGUAUGAUCUCAAAAGAAACACUGUGGCUGAAGGUAUUUGGACAGGAAGUGGUGAUAUCAGGAGCUUGGAACAUGUCACCUGGAAUUCUAUUGUCCACAGCCGGUACUGCAUUUCAUGCCAUCUUCUUUUCUGCAAACAAGGAUCUGACUGAAGAGUCUUUCUUCAUGGAUCAAAAUACUUCUAUGACUCAUACUAACAUGAUGAACGCUAGUCUGUCCAUUUAUGAAGGCUACCAUAUAUCAAGAACUUCCGUAAUCCAUUUGUUAAGUGAGGGGGCAAGUUGCUUGUGGCAAUAAAAAGUUUACAGAUGGCACUAUAUUUGUCCUGAUGCAACUCUCUCUUUCUCUCUCUCGCACUACAUUUGUCCUGAUAUAGCGCUCUCUCUCUCUCUCUCCCCGUGUGUGUGUGUGAACUGUUGGUUGUUCCUGACAUUUGUCCUUAGAUGUUAUGACAUGAGUGAAAACUGUAGAAUUUUCGUCUUUCAUAGACUGAUUCUUCUACCUGACAAAUUUUUAUCAUUAUAAAUGAAAUAGUGACAAGUUAUGACCAAGGUAACUGCAGAAUUGUCCUUGAAAUUCCAAAUGCACCUGUAACUGCACUCUCACUUGCUUUGUUUUGGUAGUUCAUGUUUCAUUUAUUGGUCUUGACUUAUUUAUGAUCCUUGAAGGCUUAACCAAUGUAUGAUAUUUGUUAAAGUUCUGGAUUACAAGUUAUGUGAUGCAGUAUCAGGUUAAUGAUGGAAAAUUAGCAGAAAAGAUAUGUUGAAGAUUUAUAUUUCUCC